ACGAACGCUGGCGGCUGCUUAACACAUGCAAGUCGAACGGAGUGGCGAACGGGUGAGUAACGCGUGAGCAACCUGCCUAUGACAGUGGGAUAGCCUCGGGAAACCGGGAUUAAUACCGCAUAGUCAUAGAUGGGCUCGCGUCUGAUUAGCUAGUUGGUGAGAUAACAGCUCACCAAGGCGACGAUCAGUAGCCGGUAUGGGAGGAUGAACUGCAACAUUGGAACGGAGACACGGUCCAAACUCCGACGGGAGGCAGCAGUGGUGAAUAUUGCACAAUGGGGGAAACCCUGAUGCAGCGAGGCCGCGUGAACGAAGAAGGUAUGCGUAUCGUAAAGUUCUGUCCUAUGGGAAGCAGUACCAUAGAAGAAAGCUCCGGCUAAAUACGUGCCAGCAGCGGCGGUAAUC
rnacentral:rRNA from 1 species